UACGGAGGGUGCAAGCGUUAUCCGGAUUCACUGGGUUUAAAGGGAGCGUAGGUGGCUUUGUAAGUCAGUGGUGAAAUAUUGCGGCUCAACCGCAAAACUGCCAUUGAUACUGCUUAGCUUGAAUCACGUCGAGGUGGAUGGAAUAAUACAUGUAGCGGUGAAAUGCUUAGAUAUGUAUUAGAACACCGAUUGCGAAGGCAGUUCACUAGGCGUGAUAUUGACACUGAGGCUCGAAAGCGUGGGGAUCAAACAGG
rnacentral:rRNA from 1 species